GCAGGACGGGGAAGCUCUGUGUGCCCGGGACACGCUCUCUGUCUCUCUCUCGCUCGGUGCUCGGGCAGGAAGGUGCGCGGGGCUCUGACCCCCGGCCAUCCCCGAGCGGGGAGCCACGUUCGCCGCCGCCCUGCCGCUGUGCCCCGAGCAGCCUGCCACCUCCGGACACCCCUCUGAGCCACAGCAUCUGUGGGACACUGCACUCAGUGGAUCAGCGUCACGGACCCUGAGAAGUACCUGCACAUGGCACAUUGACUUGAAAGUUAAUCAUAGUUCUGGCCCCAUAUGGUUACAGUGAGUCUGCUUCUCUGUCUGUGGGAGUCCUAAAGGAUACUUGAUAGCUGUCCAAUUUCUUGAGUCACAUCCAAGGUCUAAACUAAGUUACAAGAGAUGAAGAAAAAGUCCAUAUGCAAUACCUGCCAUGAGCAACCAGAGAGGGAAACAGGCAUGACCUCUUGCCUCGUCCUCACCGCAUCUAUUCCAGAGCAGCAAACCGUCACAGACAGUAAGCAACUGCAUGUCUGUCUUG